CCUAGCUUGUCCAGAUGUGGGGGGGCGUGUUUUACGCUCGCUGUGCUGCGUUCACGGCCCCGCGAGUAAUUAAAAACUCCUGCGAUCAGAGCAAUGCGCUCGCUCGAUUAAGAAAUGCGCUGCUGAAUUAAUAAAUACGCUCACCAGGAUAUUUGGUACGCUCAUCAAGGUAUUUGGCAGCGAUGU